rnacentral:rRNA from 1 species
AAAUGAAUAGACGGGCACCCGCACAAGCGGUGGAGCAUGCUGUUUAAUUCGAAAAUACGCGAAGAACCUUACCUAGAUUUGAAAUCCCGGGCAAAGCUAUAGAAAUAUAGUGGAGGCUAUCCCGGUGACAGAUGGUGCAUGGUUGUCGUCAGCUCGUGUCGUGAGAUGUUUGGUUAAGUCCAACAACGAGCGCAACCCUCGUCUUUAGUUGCUAACAUUUAGUUGAGAACUCUAAAGAUACUGCCAGUGUAAACUGGAGGAAGGUGGGGAUGAGGUCAAAUCAUCAUGCCUCUUACAUCUAGGGCUACAGGCGUGCUACAAUGGCUGGUACAACGAGUCGCAACACGGUAACGUGAAGCUAAUCUCUUAAAGCCAGUCCCAGUUCGGAUUGGAGUCUGCAACUCGACUCCAUGAAGUUGGAAUCGCUAGUAAUCGCGAAUCAGAAUGUCGCGGUGAAUACGUUCUCGGGUGUUGUACACACCGCCCGU